ensembl:lncRNA
GGGGGUAUGUGAGGGUGGUAUGUACAGCUGUGGUUCCGGUGUGUGCUAAGCGAUAUAAUCACUCUCUGAGAAUACCAGACAGGAGGCUUUCAGUAACACCCUGCUUUGAGGAUGGCACUCAGCAUAAGGCCCAAUGGUGGAAGGUGACUCUAGUAUUUCCCUAUAGGCAGAUAGUGCUCUAGGCCAGUGGUGGAAGGUGACUCUAGUAUUUCCCCAUAAGGAGACAGUGCUCUAGGCCAGCGGUGGAAGGUGACUCUAGUAUUUCCCCACAAGGAGGCAGUGCUCUAGGACAGCGGUCCCCAAAAUUUUUGGCACCAGGGACUGGUUUCAUGGAGGACAAUUUUUUUACCGACUGAGGCUCAGCGACUAGCUUUGGGAUGAUUUACGACUUGGGAUGAGGCCCUGGCUUUGAGAUGAUUCUAAGUUCGUUACAUUUAUUGUGUACUUUAUUAUUAUUACAUCAUCCCCACCUCAGAUCCUCAGGCUUUAGAUCCUAGUGGCUGUGGACACCUGCUCUAGCAAGCAUUCCACAGAGAAGUUUCUUAAGCUCUACUUCUUGAGAAUAAGUAGAGCUGGGAAGACAUCUUCAGUCUACCCUCUUUUAAUGCUUACUGCGUGGGAAAUUUGUCCUUUCAAAUCUCAGUCAUUUUUCUAAGCUCUGAUGGGAUGAAGGCCAAAGCAAAAUGAGCCUUGUUCUGACUAGCUGCCUUUAGCACGUUAGAUAAUUAACUGUUGAUGGAUCAGUGAGAGCAUUUUCUGUUAGUAAAACACCCGACAUUUAGAAGAUUUGACUAAAAUAAGCAGAGCACAAUAGCUUAGUGUUUAGUGGAAUUCUUCAAGUCUGUAAUAACCAUCUGUAAAAUUCAUCUUGUUUGAAUUAGCAAAGCCUGCUAACAGACAAUAAGUGACACCAGUGGCUGGGCGUUUUGAAAUGCUUUUCGCCCUUGGUCCUUUAACAUUUGGGAUGCUUCUUGGGUUAUUUAUAAAUUACAAAUGGGGGGGGGCUGCAAUUUCAUGAUUUUAAUAUGGGACAAAUAACAGUAUAUUACAAAAUGUUAUUUCUCCCUCAGCAUUUCUAUAGAGAUGAAGUCUGACUAAGAUGAGCAUCAACAGUUAUAUAGAUGGGAAAAAGACAUCCCCCCAAAAUAAAACAUGUCCUGAA